ensembl:lncRNA novel transcript, antisense MYO9B
CCAGCAGGUAGAAGAGGCCCGUGGGUUUCUUGCUGAUGAGAUGGAUGCAGCCGACAUUGUCUGUGUAGCCGAUGUUGUGCCACGUGAUCCCCUCGCCCUGAUAUUCCUCCUGCAGGGGUGGCGCGGGGUCGAGAUCGACAGACGCUAUGCUGUACAGGCUAGUCUGGACCUCCUGGCCUCAAGUGAUCCUCCUGCCUCGGUCUCCCGAGUAGCUGAGAUUACAGUAGAGAUGAGGUUUUGCCAUGUUAGCCAAUCUGAUCUCGAACUCCUGACCUCAGGUCAUCCGCCCACCUUGGCCUCCCAAAGUACUGGGAUUACAGGAGGAAACGUAGACAUGGCGUGGCAUUCAGAGAUUCCUGGGAAAACAUUCUCCUACCUCUCAUCCUUCUCCUGAGACACCAGGCGAGACUUUUCAAGCAGAUAUUUCUCGACGACAGCUCUGUCAUUAAGAGAAAAACAGAAAGAAU